rnacentral:rRNA from 1 species
AGAGUUUGAUCAUGGCUCAGAAUGAACGUUGGCGGCAUGGAUUAGGCAUGCAAGUCGAGCGAGAAGUUUUAGUUUGACGCUUCGGUUGAUUUCUAAGACGGACAGCGGCGCAAGGGAGAGUAACGCGUAGUUAUCUACCCUGAGGCCCGGAAUAGCUGCGGGAAACUGCAGGUAAUGCCGGAUAAUAUCCCCGGAUCAAAGGUGUGAUUCCGCCUCGGGAGGAGACUGCGUUGUACUAGCUUGUUGGUGGGGUAAUGGCCUACCAAGGCUUUGAUGCAUAGCGGGCGUGAGAGCGUGGCCCGUCUCACUGGGACUGAAACACUGCCCAGACACCUACGGGUGGCUGCAGUCGAGAAUCUUCGGCAAUGGGCGAAAGCCUGACCGAGCGAUGCCGCGUGCGGGAUGAAGGCCUUCGGGUUGUAAACCGCUGUCAGUAGGGAGGAAGGCUUCGUGAAGAGCGAAGUUUGACCUAUCUUCAGAGGAAGUCCGGGCUAAGUUCGUGCCAGCAGCCGCGGUAACACGAACCGGACAAACGUUAUUCGGAAUUAUUGGGCUUAAAGGGUGCGUAGGCGGCUUAGUAGGUGGGGGUGUGAAAUCCCUCGGCUCAACCGAGGAAUUGCGCCUCAAACCCCUAAGCUAGAGGGAGACAGAGGUAAGCGGAACUGAUGGUGGAGCGGUGAAAUGCGUUGAUAUCAUCNNNNNNACCAGUUGCGAAGGCGGCUUACUGGGUCUCUUCUGACGCUGAGGCACGAAAGCUAGGGUAGCGAACGGGAUUAGAUACCCCGGUAGUCCUAGCUGUAAACGAUGAGCACUUGGUUGAGGGCCCCCCCAUAGGCUCUCGACCGUAGCGAAA